rnacentral:lncRNA from 13 species
CUAAAGGUAAACAGAUUGAACAUAUCCACAUUCCAGAUCCAGGAGCAAUGGUAACCAAUGGGGAAAGCAGGACAUUGCCAAGGGAAAUCACUGAUCUCACCAUGAGCUCAACUCCAGUAGUAAACAGAAACCAGUCCUACAGGACAGACACUUCAUCCACUGCUUUUAACAUCCUGAGGAGAACCAAAGCCACCAUGUCACCCAAGUCGGAGUAUAAUAGGAACAAAACUUUGAUGGCUGAGAGUUACCAUUCACAGGAUGUCAUUAUUCCUUCAGUUGCAUUCAAUGUCAACCUUGAUAAUGAACUUCCCUUUGUUGAUGAAGAUUCUGAGGCUAAAAACCACAAGGACUCAACGACUUCUUCACUGAUGGAAACAGCUCACACUAUGGCUAAUACCACUCCUUUUUUCCCGGAGAACAGUUAUGAAGUGAGUGAUUAUAUGCAAUCUGAUGGGUAUAAUGUAUUGUCUAGAGAAUUCCCAUUUCUACACACUGCUGAAAGUAUAAUCCUCAGCCCUAAUGCCUUCACCGACAAUUCUGUCCUAAUGAGAGAUAGCUCCUUGGCUAACUCAAUGUCACUAUCAGUAGUAUCAGAGGCAGUGACCAAAUACCUUGAUUUCACUAAUGGAACUGGCAUUUCAGAAAACCAGGCCUUUAAAAUUCAAACAGACCUUCAGCCCCACUCCUUGGACUUAAUUAUUUCUUCUCCAGGUUCAACAACUAUUAUCAGGAAUUCAACCAAAGAUGAUGCUGAUUCAUUAUCCACUGUGAAGAGAGAAACUGUUGGCAUUUCUAAAUUUAAGACGGAUACUCAUCCUUUAGGUAUAAUCAUGAGAAUAUUUUCAUCCAAACAAAUAUGUACUUUCCCUUUGAGAAUAAAAAAAAAAAUGGCUAAGCAUUCUGUUAAAGAAGAUGCAGCUUCUAAAUUCAACAGCAGUCAUGAGACAAAUGUAACAAUCAUCAUUCCAACCUUAGAAAGGGCACUUCCUUUAACCUCUGAGCCCAGUUCACUCUGGAAGAGCAGUAACAGUGAGGAGGAAGAAGUCAAUAUUUAAGAAGCAGACAAUAAUUUUUUAGGAAAUUCAAGUACUUUGAAAGAUAAUUUUUUCACUGGUAAAUUUAAU